UUUCUUCUGGCGUUUUUCUUUCUCCCUGUGUUAUUUGCCUCCUUAAGUGUUUCAGAAAAAGCUUAUUAGCUUUCACUGCUUUAGUGCUUUUGCAACUCUGCAAAUUUUGUCCCUGUUCAUUCCACUUUUUCCCAUUCGUUUUCUUCUUUUUAAAAAUCUGUAAGCCUUUAACUUUUUUGCUAUUUUGCUUAUUUUAGCCUUCUCAUCAAAGAAUUUAUUGAAUCUCUACGUGUUUUUACUGAAAAAAUAUUGAAAAUAGCACUAGGCUGUCCAGAGGUCUGGGAGUUUUGUUUUCGCCUGAAAUUUUUCUGGAAAUCCUUGCACUUUUCCUUUUUAUUCUCUCCUCUGCUUUUGUGGGUGUAUUUUGUUUUCUUGGACAAGUACAUAUUUCACCGGCGAGGAUCUCCGACAGCUAUCAUUCAAACUCUCGUUCAGACUCGCGGCAGGACACAAUAGAGCCGCGCAUUUUGCAAAGAUUCAGGAAAACUCGGGCGCAUCAAAGCACACUUCCAGGUUUUUCCACCAGGAGUUCGUACCUCCCGCUCUCUUGUUUAUUUUGUGCACAUUUUUACGUAUUUUAGCUAGCAGUCCGAGUGUGGUCUAUUCUGUUGUUAUCUAGUUUGCUACAUUUAGACCUCGUUUUGGGUCGAACAUAAGAACAAAUUAUAUUUUCGGACUGGUGAGUGAAUGGGUUAUCGGAAAAUGGUUCGAACGUCGUAUUUUGACCACGUGGGCCUAGG
rnacentral:lncRNA from 1 species